UUUUCGGAUGGAGAUCGUUCCCAGCUGCCGCGGCACUGCUGGUGUAAAGCGGCCGGGCAGCCUCGGGGCAGAGCCGGCUCCUCCGGCGCUCGUGGAUGCUCCGAUCCCGGCUCCGUCCCCUCUCAGCAGCCCCGGGAUGUGUUUGUCCCCUGCUCUGGGGACAAGGGGCACUGCCGGGGCAGCCAGCACCGGGCGAUUUCCACGGAGGAAAUUCAGAAUUCUUCAUUCAGCCUCGGAGUUAAUUAAUUGUCGUUAAUCGCUUCCAGCGUUUUUUUCCUAAAGGUUGGGAACAGCCACGAGAGGGCAGGAGCCGCUCCUGUUUGUCCUUUUGGUAGGAAAGGCGGUGAAUACCGAUUCCUAAGGAUUGUCCCAAGGAUUUUCCUUUUCCUGGAGGGUUUGAUCCCCAAGCUGCUGUUCAGUCCCUGUCCUUGGCUGUCUCCCUCCCCCGGUAACAGCAGGAAAACUCCCUUGGAGUGAAUCCAAAGCCUCUCCGGGCCAGGAGAGCUGCAGAGAUCCCAAACAUCUCCAGGCUCCUUGGUUUGUGAUGGCCUUGGAGCCCCUCCCGUGUUCUCCUCGUUCUCCAGGAAGAUUUUUUUCCCCUGCCCGUCUGGAAUUCAGAGGAUAAUGACCAGUUUCACCGUCUGGGAGAGAUUUCAGGGGAAGGAGGCAGCAGAGCUCCAGCUGAGAGCCGCGUGCUGCUGGUGCGGGGUUGGGAAUUUCAGCGCAGGUUUGAAGAGAAGGGAGAACGAUUAACCAGGAAAGGAGCAGGGUGUUCCAGAGAGGAAACCACCGUGAGCCUCUGCUGCUGGCUUUUACUGGGAUUUGGCUGCUCUUAAAGCACCGGCUCUUCUGGGGUUUAACUUCCAAGAACAAUUAGGGAUCCUAAAUCCCUUCCUCGCCACCGUUCCCCGCUCAGGGUGCCCGUCCUUACCCAGAGAUUGCGAACGCCCUGCCGCACCUGAGGAGCAAAGAUUGCCAGCAGGAAAUGAUAAAAGGCAGCAGCAAGGUCAUUUCUGGGAGAAGCUUCUGAGGGGUAUCCAGAGCUGCCCCUCGGAUCUGAGGAAUGGCUGAUUCCAAACAUCAGCUCCUGGGGGAAAAACUCACAGGAAACUUAAAUCAGGAAAUUUUGCCCAACCCCUGAGGAAGUCUGGCAGAGCUUGGAUGAUUUGGGCCUUAAAAACAUCCUGGCACCAAGGAAAAACCCCUUCAGCAGCAGAAAGACAAACGAAUCCAUCGACACAACUGAGUUUAUUCAGCCUAAAAGAGCUUGGAGGGGGACGAAUUUCACAGGACCAUUUCUGGAAGGACUCACCUUCCCGUCCUUCUCCCUGCGCCACCACCUUGGGGUCGGUGAAUUCCGGGCGUCUCCCCGUGAACCAGCUUGGAGGAGAGAAUACAAAAUGAGGAACUGCGGGGCUGAGGUGGAUCCAGGGC